GGUUAAGCGACUAAGCGUACACGGUGGAUGCCCUGGCAGUCAGAGGCGAUGAAGGACGUGCUAAUCUGCGAUAAGCGUCGGUGAGGUGAUAUGAACCGUUAUAACCGGCGAUUUCCGAAUGGGGAAACCCAGUGUGUUUCGACACACUAUCAUUAACUGAAUCCAUAGGUUAAUGAGGCGAACCGGGGGAACUGAAACAUCUAAGUACCCCGAGGAAAAGAAAUCAACCGAGAUUCCCCCAGUAGCGGCGAGCGAACGGGGAGGAGCCCAGAGCCUGAAUCAGUGUGUGUGUUAGUGGAAGCGUCUGGAAAGGCGUGCGAUACAGGGUGACAGCCCCGUACACAAAAAUGCACAUAUUGUGAGCUCGAUGAGUAGGGCGGGACACGUGGUAUCCUGUCUGAAUAUGGGGGGACCAUCCUCCAAGGCUAAAUACUCCUGACUGACCGAUAGUGAACCAGUACCGUGAGGGAAAGGCGAAAAGAACCCCGGCGAGGGGAGUGAAAAAGAACCUGAAACCGUGUACGUACAAGCAGUGGGAGCCUCUUAAUGGGGUGACUGCGUACCUUUUGUAUAAUGGGUCAGCGACUUAUAUUCUGUAGCAAGGUUAACCGAAUAGGGGAGCCGAAGGGAAACCGAGUCUUAACUGGGCGUUAAGUUGCAGGGUAUAGACCCGAAACCCGGUGAUCUAGCCAUGGGCAGGUUGAAGGUUGGGUAACACUAACUGGAGGACCGAACCGACUAAUGUUGAAAAAUUAGCGGAUGACUUGUGGCUGGGGGUGAAAGGCCAAUCAAACCGGGAGAUAGCUGGUUCUCCCCGAAAGCUAUUUAGGUAGCGCCUCGUGAAUUCAUCUCCGGGGGUAGAGCACUGUUUCGGCAAGGGGGUCAUCCCGACUUACCAACCCGAUGCAAACUGCGAAUACCGGAGAAUGUUAUCACGGGAGACACACGGCGGGUGCUAACGUCCGUCGUGAAGAGGGAAACAACCCAGACCGCCAGCUAAGGUCCCAAAGUCAUGGUUAAGUGGGAAACGAUGUGGGAAGGCCCAGACAGCCAGGAUGUUGGCUUAGAAGCAGCCAUCAUUUAAAGAAAGCGUAAUAGCUCACUGGUCGAGUCGGCCUGCGCGGAAGAUGUAACGGGGCUAAACCAUGCACCGAAGCUGCGGCAGCGACACUAUGUGUUGUUGGGUAGGGGAGCGUUCUGUAAGCCUGUGAAGGUGGCCUGUGAGGGUUGCUGGAGGUAUCAGAAGUGCGAAUGCUGACAUAAGUAACGAUAAAGCGGGUGAAAAGCCCGCUCGCCGGAAGACCAAGGGUUCCUGUCCAACGUUAAUCGGGGCAGGGUGAGUCGACCCCUAAGGCGAGGCCGAAAGGCGUAGUCGAUGGGAAACAGGUUAAUAUUCCUGUACUUGGUGUUACUGCGAAGGGGGGACGGAGAAGGCUAUGUUGGCCGGGCGACGGUUGUCCCGGUUUAAGCGUGUAGGCUGGUUUUCCAGGCAAAUCCGGAAAACCAAGGCUGAGGCGUGAUGACGAGGCACUACGGUGCUGAAGCGACAAAUGCCCUGCUUCCAGGAAAAGCCUCUAAGCAUCAGGUAACAUCAAAUCGUACCCCAAACCGACACAGGUGGUCAGGUAGAGAAUACCAAGGCGCUUGAGAGAACUCGGGUGAAGGAACUAGGCAAAAUGGUGCCGUAACUUCGGGAGAAGGCACGCUGAUAUGUAGGUGAAGCGACUUGCUCGUGGAGCUGAAAUCAGUCGAAGAUACCAGCUGGCUGCAACUGUUUAUUAAAAACACAGCACUGUGCAAACACGAAAGUGGACGUAUACGGUGUGACGCCUGCCCGGUGCCGGAAGGUUAAUUGAUGGGGUUAGCGGUAACGCGAAGCUCUUGAUCGAAGCCCCGGUAAACGGCGGCCGUAACUAUAACGGUCCUAAGGUAGCGAAAUUCCUUGUCGGGUAAGUUCCGACCUGCACGAAUGGCGUAAUGAUGGCCAGGCUGUCUCCACCCGAGACUCAGUGAAAUUGAACUCGCUGUGAAGAUGCAGUGUACCCGCGGCAAGACGGAAAGACCCCGUGAACCUUUACUAUAGCUUGACACUGAACAUUGAGCCUUGAUGUGUAGGAUAGGUGGGAGGCUUUGAAGUGUGGACGCCAGUCUGCAUGGAGCCGACCUUGAAAUACCACCCUUUAAUGUUUGAUGUUCUAACGUUGGCCCGUAAUCCGGGUUGCGGACAGUGUCUGGUGGGUAGUUUGACUGGGGCGGUCUCCUCCUAAAGAGUAACGGAGGAGCACGAAGGUUGGCUAAUCCUGGUCGGACAUCAGGAGGUUAGUGCAAUGGCAUAAGCCAGCUUGACUGCGAGCGUGACGGCGCGAGCAGGUGCGAAAGCAGGUCAUAGUGAUCCGGUGGUUCUGAAUGGAAGGGCCAUCGCUCAACGGAUAAAAGGUACUCCGGGGAUAACAGGCUGAUACCGCCCAAGAGUUCAUAUCGACGGCGGUGUUUGGCACCUCGAUGUCGGCUCAUCACAUCCUGGGGCUGAAGUAGGUCCCAAGGGUAUGGCUGUUCGCCAUUUAAAGUGGUACGCGAGCUGGGUUUAGAACGUCGUGAGACAGUUCGGUCCCUAUCUGCCGUGGGCGCUGGAGAACUGAGGGGGGCUGCUCCUAGUACGAGAGGACCGGAGUGGACGCAUCACUGGUGUUCGGGUUGUCAUGCCAAUGGCACUGCCCGGUAGCUAAAUGCGGAAGAGAUAAGUGCUGAAAGCAUCUAAGCACGAAACUUGCCCCGAGAUGAGUUCUCCCUGACUCCUUGAGGGUCCUGAAGGAACGUUGAAGACGACGACGUUGAUAGGCCGGGUGUGUAAGCGCAGCGAUGCGUUGAGCUAACCGGUACUAAUGAACCGUGAGGCUUAACCUU
rnacentral:rRNA from 5 species